AUGCAGUCGAGCGGAGAGAGGUAGCUUGCUACUGAUCUUAGCGGCGGACGGGUGAGUAAUGCUUAGGAAUCUGCCUAUUAGUGGGGGACAACAUUUCGAAAGGAAUGCUAAUACCGCAUACGUCCUACGGGAGAAAGCAGGGGAUCUUCGGACCUUGCGCUAAUAGAUGAGCCUAAGUCGGAUUAGCUAGUUGGUGGGGUAAAGGCCUACCAAGGCGACGAUCUGUAGCGGGUCUGAGAGGAUGAUCCGCCACACUGGGACUGAGACACGGCCCAGACUCCUACGGGAGGCAGCAGUGGGGAAUAUUGGACAAUGGGCGCAAGCCUGAUCCAGCCAUGCCGCGUGUGUGAAGAAGGCCUUAUGGUUGUAAAGCACUUUAAGCGAGGAGGAGGCUACUUUAGAUAAUACCUAGAGAUAGUGGACGUUACUCGCAGAAUAAGCACCGGCUAACUCUGUGCCAGCAGCCGCGGUAAUACAGAGGGUGCAAGCGUUAAUCGGAUUUACUGGGCGUAAAGCGCGCGUAGGCGGCUAAUUAAGUCAAAUGUGAAAUCCCCGAGCUUAACUUGGGAAUUGCAUUCGAUACUGGUUAGCUAGAGUGUGGGAGAGGAUGGUAGAAUUCCAGGUGUAGCGGUGAAAUGCGUAGAGAUCUGGAGGAAUACCGAUGGCGAAGGCAGCCAUCUGGCCUAACACUGACGCUGAGGUGCGAAAGCAUGGGGAGCAAACAGGAUUAGAUACCCUGGUAGUCCAUGCCGUAAACGAUGUCUACUAGCCGUUGGGGCCUUUGAGGCUUUAGUGGCGCAGCUAACGCGAUAAGUAGACCGCCUGGGGAGUACGGUCGCAAGACUAAAACUCAAAUGAAUUGACGGGGGCCCGCACAAGCGGUGGAGCAUGUGGUUUAAUUCGAUGCAACGCGAAGAACCUUACCUGGCCUUGACAUAGUAAGAACUUUCCAGAGAUGGAUUGGUGCCUUCGGGAACUUACAUACAGGUGCUGCAUGGCUGUCGUCAGCUCGUGUCGUGAGAUGUUGGGUUAAGUCCCGCAACGAGCGCAACCCUUUUCCUUAUUUGCCAGCGAGUAAUGUCGGGAACUUUAAGGAUACUGCCAGUGACAAAUUGGAGGAAGGCGGGGACGACGUCAAGUCAUCAUGGCCCUUACGGCCAGGGCUA
rnacentral:rRNA from 1 species